UACAGGGGGUGCAAACGUUGCUCGGAAUUAUUGGGCGUAAAGCGCGCGUAGGCGGCUACUUAAGUCUGAUGUGAAAGCCCUGGGCUCAACCUGGGAAUGGCAUUGGAAACUGGCGACCUAGAGUGCGGUAGAGGGUAGUGGAAUUCCCGGUGUAGUGGUGGAAUGCGUAGAUAUCGGGAGGAAUACCAGUGGCGAAAGCGGCACCCUGGCAUUAGCCUGACGCUCAUGUGCGAAGGCGUGGGGAGCGAACGGG
rnacentral:rRNA from 1 species